rnacentral:rRNA from 1 species
CUACGGGCGGCUGCAGUGAGGAAUAUUGCACAAUGGGGGGAACCCUGAUGCAGCAACGCCGCGUGGAGGAUGACGCAUUUCGGUGUGUAAACUCCUUUUAUAUGUCAAGAAAAUGACGGCAGCAUAUGAAUAAGCACCGGCUAACUCCGUGCCAGCAGCCGCGGUAAUACGGAGGGUGCAAGCGUUACUCGGAAUCACUGGGCGUAAAGGACGCGUAGGCGGGUUGGAAAGUCAGGUGUGAAAUCCUACAGCUUAACUGUAGAACUGCACUUGAAACUUCUAAUCUAGAGUAUGGGAGGGGGAGAUGGAGUUAGUGGUGUAGGGGUAAAAUCCGUAGAUAUCACUAGGAAUACCUAAAGCGAAGGCGAUCUCCUGGAACAUUACUGACGCUAAGGCGUGAAAGCGUGGGGAGCAAACAGGAUUAGAUACCCGCGUAGUC